rnacentral:rRNA from 1 species
GAUGAACGCUGGCGGCGUGCCUAAUACAUGCAAGUCGAGCGAACAGAUGAGGAGCUUGCUCCUCUGACGUUAGCGGCGGACGGGUGAGAAACACGUGGAUAACCUACCUAUAAGACUGGGAUAACUUCGGGAAACCGGAGCUAAUACCGGAUAAUAUAUUGAACCGCAUGGUUCAAUAGUGAAAGACGGUUUUGCUGUCACUUAUAGAUGGAUCCGCGCCGCAUUAGCUAGUUGGUAAGGUAACGGCUUACCAAGGCAACGAUGCGUAGCCGACCUGAGAGGGUGAUCGGCCACACUGGAACUGAGACACGGUCCAGACUCCUACGGGAGGCAGCAGUAGGGAAUCUUCCGCAAUGGGCGAAAGCCUGACGGAGCAACGCCGCGUGAGUGAUGAAGGUCUUCGGAUCGUAAAACUCUGUUAUUAGGGAAGAACAAAUGUGCAAGUAACUAUGCACGUCUUGACGGUACCUAAUCAGAAAGCCACGGCUAACUACGUG